rnacentral:lncRNA from 1 species
GCGGCCGCCCCAGCGCCCGAGGCGCCGGGCCGAGGAGGGCCCGGGGAGGGGAGGCGGGGCCGGGCGGCUCCUCCUCGCCGGGAACUCGGGAUGACCUUGGCCGAGUCGCCCGGGUGACUAGCAUGCAGAUAUUCGCACCCUGACUUGGUUUGGCUGCCUGACUACUGACAUGGCCCACCGGGGUGGGGAGAGGGACUUCCAGACUUCAGCUCGUCGGAUGGGUACCUCCCUGCUUUUCCAGCUUUCAGUGCAUGAGCGGGAACUGGACCUUGUUUUUCUGGAUCAUAGCUAUGCAAAACCGUGGAGUGCCCACCCCGAUGCCAGCAGCGCCCGCCCCACCCGCAUGCUCUUUGUAACUCCCCGUCGGCAGCAGG